AGCAGCCGCGGUAAUUCCAGCUCCAAUAGCGUAUAUUAAAGUUGCUGCAGUUAAAAAGCUCGUAGUUGAAUUUCGGGACUAAUAUGUCGGUCGUGCCUCGGUACGUACUGGCUUAUUGGUUUCUCCUUUCUGAAGAACCAUGAUGUCAUUUAUUUGGUGUCGUGGGGAAUCAGGACUGUUACUUUGAAAAAAUUAGAGUGUUUAAAGCAAGCUUACGCUUGAAUACAUUAGCAUGGAAUAAUGAAAUAGGACAUCAGAUUCUAUUUUGUUGGUUUCUAGGAUCGAUGUAAUGAUUAAUAGGGAUAGUUGGGGGCAUUAGUAUUCAAUUGUCAGAGGUGAAAUUCUUGGAUUUAUUGAAGACUAACUACUGCGAAAGCAUUUGCCAAGGAUGUUUUCAUUAAUCAAGAACGAAAGUUAGGGGAUCGAAGACGAUCAGAUACCGUCGUAGUCUUAACCAUAAACUAUGCCGACUAGGGAUCGGAUGAUGUUAAUUUUUUAAUGACUCA
rnacentral:rRNA from 1 species